AACCUAGCACACCUGCGGUGUGUACCUGCGGAAGGAUCAUUGAUGAAUUCAAGGCGGCGUCGGACCGUGCUGGCCCCUCGGGGCAUGUGCACGUCCGGCGUCGUCCAUCUCACACACACACCCGUGCACGCUUUGGAGGCACGGCGAGUUCGUAGGGUUUGCCGGCUUCGCGUCGGCUCUCUCGGGAGCGAGCCGUCCUCCUACCUUUUUCAUACACACCUCUGUGAUGUCCCGAAUGUC
rnacentral:misc_RNA from 1 species